GGCUGUAGCUCAGGGGGUAGAGCAUCAGCCUUGCAUGUAGAAGUUCUGAGGUUCAAGCCUCGGUGUCCCCG